CGGAUUUCUUAUAUUAGGACAGAAAGACCCUAUGAAGCUUUACUAUUAAUAAAUAUUGAAAAUAUAUAUGUAAAACAUAGAAUAAAUGGGAAAUUAAAAUAUUAUUUUUUCGGAAAUAAUGUAAUUAAAAAUGAAAUACCAUUUUUUAUAUAUAUAGAUUCUUAUAAAAAAUUUUAUAACAAAUGUUUAAACAGUAAUUAUGAGAUAGUUUGACUGGGGCAGUCUCCUCCUAAAUAGUAACGGAGGUGUACAAAGUUAUAUUAAUAAUAUAAAGAUAUAAUAUAAUUAACUGUAAGAUAUACAAAUCAAACAGAGAUUUACGUCGGUCUUAAUGAUCCGAUAAUUUUGUUUAGUGAUAAAAUUAUCGCUUAACGGAUAAAAGUUAC
rnacentral:rRNA from 1 species